UAAAGUCAUUUUCAUUAAAAUCAUGAAUGAGAGAAGGAUACUGUCACCACUAUUCUUCAACGUUUUGGAUGUUCUAAUUUAGAAGACAAGACAAUGAAGUAUUACGUGUAGUCUACUGUUAGUUGUCUUCAAAACUCUGUUCUCCCCUUCUUCCUUAGAAAUAUAGUUUCAGCUAUGGACAUGGCUGAGAGACAAUAAUUCCCAGUUUCUCCUGAAGCUAAGUGCAGCCAUAUGACUGUGUUUGCACCGGUGGAAUAUGCAUGGAUGUGAUGACGUCAGCCUAUCACUCAAUUGCUUGAAAGGAAGUUGUUUAUCCUCGACUUUUCUCCCACCCUGUUCCUCACCGUUUGGAACAUAGAUGUAACUGUAACUCCACUUUAACCAUGCAGAUGAGUAGAAUGCUCCAGUAGAUGCGGGGGCAAUAAGAUGAAAGGGACAUGGAUCACUGAACAACCUGGAGGAGAAGGGUAUUUGUUUCACCCGUCGGGACUAGUCAGCCAAUAUGGUCCUUCCUCAACAGGACUUGGCCUUUCUUUACUUGAUCAGUUCUGGGUCCGAGAAACUGCUCAGGGAUGGAAACUCGACAAAGGAUCAUGAUUUUUCCACUGGGACAACUGACAGGCUACUGCUCAAGUAGUAUUAAUUUUUUUAGUUUUAAAAGAAAUACUCUUGCUGGUUUCUGUUAUGAGCUGAAUUGUGUUCUCCCAAAAUUCGUAUGUUGAAGUCCUACUGUGACGUAUUUGGAGAUAGGGCCUUUAGGGACAUAAUUAAGGUAGAAUGAGGUAAUUUGGGUAGGCCCGAAUCCAAUAUUACUGGUGUCCUUAUAAGAAUAAUAAAUUAGGGUACAGACCACACACAGACUGAGGAGGCAACCAAUGAGGACCCAAUGAGGAUCCCAGGACUCAAUGAGGAGGCAGCCAUCUUCAAGCCAAGAAAAGAGGCCUCAGAAGAAACUGACCAUACCAAGAAUUUGACCUUGGACUUCUAGCUUCUAGAACAGUGAGGAAGAAACUAACCCUGCCAACAACUUGAUCUUGGACAUCUAGCUUCCAGAACUGUGAGGAAAUAAAUUUCUGUUGUUUAAGCUGCUAA